UACGGAGGGUGCAAGCGUUAAUCGGAAUUACUGGGCGUAAAGCGCGCGUAGGCGGCUGGAUAAGUCGAUUGUGAAAGCCCCGGGCUCAACCUGGGAAUUGCAGUCGAGACUGUUCGGCUAGAGUUCGGUAGGGGAGACUGGAAUUCCUGGUGUAGCGGUGAAAUGCGCAGAUAUCAGGAGGAACACCGGUGGCGAAGGCGGGUCUCUGGGCCGAUACUGACGCUGAGGAGCGAAAGCGUGGGGAGCGAACAGG
rnacentral:rRNA from 1 species